UGUUGCAGGGCUUUAUAGAAGAGCUGUCUGGGAGGGGCCAAUGGUUUAGUAGGUGUUGCAGGGCUUUAUAGAAGAGCUGUCUGGGAGGGACCAGUGGUUUAGUAGGUGUGUCUGUGUUGCAGGGCUUUAUAGAAGAGCUGUCUGGGAGGGGCCAAUGGUUUAGUAGGUGUGGCUGUGUUGCAGGGCUUUAUAGAAGGGCUGCCUGGGAGGGACCAGUGGUUUAGUAGAUGUGGCUGUGUUGCAGGGCUUUAUAGAAGAGGUGUCUGGGAGGGGCCAAUGGUUUAGUAGGUAUGGCUGUGUUGCAGGGCUUUAUAGAAGGGCUGCCUGGGAGGGACCAGUGGUUUAGUAGGUGUGGCUGUGUUGCAGGGCUUUAUAGAAGGGCUGCCUGGGAGGGACCAGUGGUUUAGUAGGUGUGGCUGUGUUGCAGGGCUUUAUAGAAGGGCUGCCUGGGAGGGACCAGUGGUUUAGUAGGUGUGGCUGUGUUGCAGGGCUUUAUAGAAGGGCUGCCUGGGAGGGACCAGUGGUUUAGUAGGUGUGGCUGUGUUGCAGGGCUUUAUAGAAGGGCUGCCUGGGAGGGACCAGUGGUUUAGUAGGUGUGGCUGUGUUGCAGGGCUUUAUAGAAGGGCUGCCUGGGAGGGACCAGUGGUUUAGUAGGUGUGGCUGUGUUGCAGGGCUUUAUAGAAGGGCUGCCUGGGAGGGACCAGUGGUUUAGUAGGUGUGGCUGUGUUGCAGGGCUUUAUAGAAGGGCUGCCUGGGAGGGACCAGUGGUUUAGUAGGUGUGGCUGUGUUGCAGGGCUUUAUAGAAGGGCUGCCUGGGAGGGACCAGUGGUUUAGUAGGUGUGGCUGUGUUGCAGGGUCUUCUAGAGUUGCUGGCUGAGGGCUCCUAUCACCAAGACUACACAUCACUCUAAAACAGAACGUGCCGCCUAGGAUAAUAAAGUUGAAACUUGAACACACACACACACAGUCCUUCCACAUGUCUGUGAGUGUGCCAGCUGUGUGCUAUGGCUGGCUAGCUGACUGUGGA